rnacentral:rRNA from 1 species
GACGAACGCUGGCGGCGUGCCUAAUACAUGCAAGUGGGACGCAAGGAAACACACUGUGCUUGCACACCGUGUUUUCUUGAGUCGCGAACGGGUGAGUAACGCGUAGGUAACCUGCCUAUUAGCGGGGGAUAACUAUUGGAAACGAUAGCUAAUACCGCAUAAUAUUAAUUAUUGCAUGAUAAUUGAUUGAAAGAUGCAAGCGCAUCACUAGUAGAUGGACCUGCGUUGUAUUAGCUAGUUGGUAAGGUAAGAGCUUACCAAGGCGACGAUACAUAGCCGACCUGAGAGGGUGAUCGGCCACACUGGGACUGAGACACGGCCCAGACUACUACGGGAGGCAGCAGUAGGGAAUCUUCGGCAAUGGACGAAAGUCUGACCGAGCAACGCCGCGUGAGUGAAGAAGGUUGUCGGAUCGUAAAGCUCUGUUGUAAGUCAAGAACGUGUGUGAGAGUGGAAAGUUCACACAGUGACGGUAGCUUACCAGAAAGGGACGGCUAACUACGUG